rnacentral:rRNA from 1 species
UACGAAGGGGGCUAGCGUUGCUCGGAAUGACUGGGCGUAAAGGGCGCGUAGGCGGAUGGCACAGUCAGAUGUGAAAUUCCCGGGCUUAACCUGGGGGCUGCAUUUGAUACGUGUUGUCUUGAGUUCGGAAGAGGGUCGUGGAAUUCCCAGUGUAGAGGUGAAAUUCGUAGAUAUUGGGAAGAACACCGGUGGCGAAGGCGGCUCACUGGGCAACUGCUGACACUGAUGCGCGACAGCGUGGGGAGCAAACAGG